rnacentral:rRNA from 1 species
AACGAACGCUGGCGGCAUGCCUAACACAUGCAAGUCGAACGAGAUCUUCGGGUCUAGUGGCGCACGGGUGCGUAACGCGUGGGAAUCUGCCCUCAGGUUCGGAAUAACCAUUGGAAACGAUGGCUAAUACCGGAUGAUGACGUUAAGUCCAAAGAUUUAUCGCCUGAGGAUGAGCCCGCGUAGGAUUAGCUAGUUGGUGUGGUAAAGGCGCACCAAGGCGACGAUCCUUAGCUGGUCUGAGAGGAUGAUCAGCCACACUGGGACUGAGACACGGCCCAGACUCCUACGGGAGGCAGCAGUGGGGAAUAUUGGACAAUGGGCGAAAGCCUGAUCCAGCAAUGCCGCGUGAGUGAUGAAGGCCUUAGGGUUGUAAAGCUCUUCUACCCGGGAUGAUAAUGACAGUACCGGGAGAAUAAGCUCCGGCUAACUCCGUG